rnacentral:rRNA from 1 species
UAUGUAGGGUGCAAGCGUUGUCCGGAAUUAUUGGGCGUAAAGAGCUCGUAGGCGGUUUGUCGCGUCGAAUGUGAAAACCCACGGCUCAACUGUGGGCUUGCAUUCGAUACGGGCAGGCUAGAGUUCGGUAGGGGAGACUGGAAUUCCUGGUGUAGCGGUGAAAUGCGCAGAUAUCAGGAGGAAUACCGGUGGCGAAGGCGGCAUCCUGGACCGGCAUUGACGCUGAUGAGCGAAAGCCUAGGGGAGCAAACGGG